UCAUUACUGAGCUCUGCACCCGAGGUCGAGAUUCUUAUUUCAUAGCAUGUUUUACUUCUGAGCUCGGGAAGUUUAAAUCCAACUUUCUUUGCAGCAUCUCAACCAAACAACCUGGAAAUCCCAAUUAAUACCGAUACAAAUUCUACAGCCAUCCCGUAUGUUUACGGCGUAGGGGAAGUAGACAACUAUUCAUUUUUCACGAAGGCUCUCCAAGUCGAAUCUGGAUUUUCAUAAAGAUCAAAAUCUAAACAUCGAAGUUGAAGACAACCCUCGAUCCUCCCUUUGAGAACCCUCAGAUUGUUGCCUUCCCGAUUCCUCAAUUCCCAAUUGAAUUGCUAGAUUUAUGCACGCGCAGUAAAACUAGUAAUCGAGAUGAGUGAGGUAUUCGAAGGCUACGAGCGUUAGUUCUGCAAGCUCUCCGCAAACCUCUCGCGAAAAUCCAACUCAGGCGCCUUCUUCCCGACUAUGAGCAGAAGAAGCAGAAAUUUUCCGAGAUUAAAAUUGGACUGGAUGAUGCCGAAGCUUGGUAAUAUGCUGUACAGCAAACAAAUUUCACUUGUUUUUGCUUUUUUCAUGAAAGCUUCAUGGUUUAUAUACUUUCCUUGUUUGUUUAUGUAAAUGAGCGAUGGGAUUUCUUUUGGGGGCUUACUGGAUAGUUUCUCGUUCAAGUGUUUGAAACAGAAACCGUAGUUAAAACUGAACCAAUAUUGUGAAUCUGAACCAAAAUAAUUUACACUAUUUUUGGAAGGAACAAAAUUUAAUAUAUACUAAAGCAGAAAAUACACUGAAACACUGUUCAUAAGAACAGUGUACUUCCGAGAAUGCCCCUACAUUAGUUAUGUAAUUUCAAUAUUAGUCCCAUUUAAAUCUAAUUGAAUUAGGACCGUUCAUUUUGUUUGGGCAGUGUGAAAGAAAUCGAUCCGUCCAUAUUUUUGUAUCAUCUUUUCUCCUCUGCCGAUCAUCAUUCUUUCUCCUGCUCUCUCUCAACAUCCCGAUAACCCCCAACCCCACCCACGAACCCAGAUACACCCAAAACAAUCACCAUUCUCAUCCCUUCGACCUCACGAACUCAAGUCUGAGCCCAUUCUUACUUUCUAGGUCAAGAUUUCAUGGCUUGCAUGUACGAUUUGGUGAAGGUUUGAAGAAGAUUGAAGCUCAAUCCGUAACCCAGAUUCCGGCGAGGUUUUCCAGCGAAUCCGCUAGCUUCCCUGUAUUUUUGAGGCCCCUCACAGUCAUCCAAUCACCAAAUCGUAGGAUGGAGUGGAAGGAUUUGGAAGAAUCAGAUGUUUAUAAUGAGAACAAAAGAGUUGCCACAAUGCUUGAGGUUGCCAACACCAAGAGUUGUAGCUGGUUCAACCCGAAGAAGGGUUAAUUUUUUUACAAAAUAAGUUCCAAUUCCUUGGUGGUUUGGCUUUACAGUAAAUACCAAGUGAAUUUUUCAUUAAGUAGAUUUUUGUAAUGGAAUUCAUUAACUUGGUAGAUUUAUGUUGUUUAUAGAAUACGUAUAAGUUUUGAUGGUUA